rnacentral:rRNA from 1 species
UAAUACAAGGCAGACGGCUCAGUAACGCGUAGUCAACCUAACCUAUGGACGGGAAUAACCUCGGGAAACUGAGUAUAAUGCCCGAUAGAACAUUAUGCCUGGAAUGGUUUAUGUUCCAAAUGAUUUAUCGCCGUAGGAUGGGACUGCGGCCUAUCAGUUUGUUGGUGAGGUAAUGGCCCACCAAGACUAUUACAGGUACGGGCUCUGAGAGGAGUAGCCCGGAGAUGGGUACUGAGACACGGACCCAGGCCCUAUGGGGCGCAGCAGGCGAGAAAACUUCGCAAUGUGCGAAAGCACGACAAGGUUAAUCCGAGUGGUUUCUGCUAAAGGAACCUUUUGUUAGUCCUAGAAACACUAACGAAUAAGGGGUGGGCAAGUUCUGGUGUCAGCCGCCGCGGUAAAACCAGCACCUCAAGUGGUCAGGAUGAUUAUUGGGCCUAAAGCAUCCGUAGCCGGCUCUAUAAGUUUUCGGUUAAAUCUGUACGCUCAACGUACAGGCUGCCGGGAAUACUGCAGAGCCAGGGAGUGGGAGAGGUAGACGGUACUCGGGAGGAAGGGGUAAAAUCCUUUGAUCUCUCGAUGACCACCUGUGGCGAAGGCGGUCUACCAGAACACGUCCGACGGUGAGGGAUGAAAGCUGGGGGAGCAAACCGGAUUA